GCCACGCCACCCCCUCCCACUCCUCCGGGCUCAAUGAAGCUUUCUUUUCCCGCAGGUUGGGAGGCCAGGCAGCGGCGUUCAGGAUGCUGGACUUGCAAAUGGUUUCGGGACAGCAGGAUGGCCCCUGUGGCCGCAGGAAGCUUUUCAGCCCGUAGCCGUUUCUCCACAUCUCCAGCUAGACAGAGUAUCAACAGACCAGUCCAAUUCCAGAGCUGGACCAUGGGAACAAGGUCCCACAAAGAAAACUAAUGUCCUGAGGGCCCUCUUGGUCAUUAUGGCGACCCCAAAGUCCCUGCAGGUGAUGUCACGGCCUUCACUCUGAUGUCACGUUAAAUAUAUGUCGUCACUCCCAGCUUCCACCCCCAGGCACUAGGGCCUUUAGUUGGUGACCGCGACUUCCCUGAGUAGUGCCACUGUGCGUGCGGUGAGAUAAAGGCUCCCCUUGGGUUCUUCCUGACGGCUCGUUUUCCUUCGACCCCUCCGUCCCCGCCCCCCCUCCCCGCAUCA
rnacentral:lncRNA from 1 species